rnacentral:tRNA from 1 species
GGAAGUGUGCCUGAAAGCCAAGGACCUCCUUGAUAGGGAGUCUCAUAGGGGUUCAAACCCCCUCUCUUCCUUA